UACGUAGGGACCAAGCGUUGUUCGGAUUUACUGGGCGUAAAGGGCGCGUAGGCGGCAAUUCAAGUCAUCUGUGAAAUCUCCGGGCUUAACCCGGAACGGUCAGGUGAUACUGCUUUGCUAGAGUGCGGAAGGGGCAAUCGGAAUUCUUGGUGUAGCGGUGAAAUGCGUAGAUAUCAAGAGGAACACCUGAGGUGAAGACGGGUUGCUGGGCUGACACUGACGCUGAUGCGCGAAAGCCAGGGGAGCAAACGGG
rnacentral:rRNA from 1 species